CCUACGGGUGACAGCAGUGGGGGAUAUUGCACAAUGGGGGAAACUCUGACGCAGCGACGCCGCGUGAGUGAAGAAGGAUUUCGGUUUGUAAAGCUCUAUCAGCUGUGAAGAUGAUGACAGUAGCUUCUCAAGAAGCCCCGGCUAACUACGUGCCAGCAGCCGCGGUAAUACGUAGGGGGCAAGCGUUGUCCGGAUUUACUGGGUGUAAAGGGAGGGUAGGCGGUUUAGUAAGAUAGUGGUGAAAUCCCGGGGCUGAACUUCGGAACUGCUUUGGUAACUAUUAGACUGGAAUAACAGAGGGGAUAGCGGAAUACCUGGUGUAGAGGUGAAAUUCGUAGAUAUUGGGUGGAACACCAGCGGCGAAGGCGACCAGCUG
rnacentral:rRNA from 1 species